GUGAAGAACGCAGCGAAAUGCGAUAAGUAAUGUGAAUUGCAGAAUUCAGUGAAUCAUCGAAUCUUUGAACGCACCUUGCGCCCUUUGGCCAUUCCGAAGGGCAUGCCUGUUUGAGUAUCAUGAACACCUCAACUCUUCAUGGUUUUCCGUGAUGAGCUUGGACUUUGGGGGUCUUGCUGGCCUAUGGUCAGCUCCUCUAAAAUAAAUAAGCUUGCCAGUGUUUGGUGGGUAUCACAGGUGUGAUAACUAUCUACGCUUGUGGUUUUCCACCAGGUAACCUUCAGCAGUGGAGGUUCGCUGGAGCUCACAGAUGUGUCUCUCCUCAGUGAGGACAGCUCUUUGAAUGUUUGAUCUCAAAUCAGGUAGGACUACCCGCUGAACUUAAGCAUAUCAAUAAGCGGAGGA
rnacentral:misc_RNA from 1 species